rnacentral:rRNA from 1 species
UGGGGAAUAUUGCGCAAUGGGCGAAAGCCUGACGCAGCGACGCCGCGUGAGGGAUGAAGGUUUUCGGAUCGUAAACCUCUGUCAGAAGGGAAGAAACCGCACUGUGCUAAUCAGCAGUGCCUUGACGGUACCUUCAAAGGAAGCACCGGCUAACCCCGUGCCAGCAGCCGCGGUAAUACGGAGGGUGCAAGCGUUAAUCGGAAUUACUGGGCGUAAAGCGCACGUAGGCUGCUUUGUAAGUCAGGGGUGAAAUCCCACGGCUCAACCGUGGAACUGCCUUUGAUACUGCUUAGCUUGAAUCCGGGAGAGGGUGGCGGAAUUCCAGGUGUAGGAGUGAAAUCCGUAGAUAUCUGGAGGAACAUCAGUGGCGAAGGCGGCCACCUGGACCGGUAUUGACGCUGAGGUGCGAAAGCGUGGGGAGCAAACAGG